rnacentral:tRNA from 1 species
GGGCAUAUGGCUCAGCCAGGUAGAGCGGCAGGCUCUUAACCUGUUGGUCGAGGGUUCAAAUCCCUCUAUGCCCG